AUGAAGAUCACGGUGCUCAUCAUGCUGAAGUCGUCGGCCGGAGGCGCCGGGGGCUCCUCCUCCAGCGGUGGGCAGGGCUCCGAGGCGCUCGUGCCAGCCAACGCCACGGACGUCAGCCACUUCGGCUUCUUCCGGUGCGGCGCCGCACGCGAGUUCAUCAUCUUCGUCCCCCGCACCAUCGCCCAGCGCACCCAACCUCGCCAGCGCCAGUCCGUCCAGCAUGAAGGUUAA
rnacentral:rRNA from 1 species